AGCCUGAGUUUAGCUACCCAGAGCCAUGUGCUCAUAGGAGUACAGCAAAGCAGGGCUGGUAGUGAUAGAGAACAUGACAAGCUGAAGAGAAGUGGGUACAACACAAGAAACAGGAAGGGAGGAAGAGAUGUUCCUAGCAGAUAAAUUAGAGUUCCUUCGAGGCAGAAGAUGAUUUCAUUUGCAGCACAACUCGUGUCUGGUUUGGACGUACUGUGCCCUUCGUGACUUGGUCCUAGACUGUGCUGAUGAAAUGAUGAAGAAUGGACAGACACAUGGACAGAAAAGCUGGGAUCUGCUGUGUUCGGCCAGAGAUGCAUCAAGAGCAACCUAGAAACUCACCGUGUUUACUUCAAACACCUGAACGGAGGGGGCAGGUUUAUUGUACACAGCUGGGCAGGGAGGUAGGCUUAACUAAUCUUCUUAGGCGGUCUCUGGAAGGAAGGAAGGAAGGAAGGAAGGAAGGAAGGAAGGAAGGAAGGAAGGAAGGAAGGAAGGAAGGAAGGAAGCAAGCAGUCUCAGGGCGCAGUCAUCCUGGAAGAGGAAGCUAUGAUUGAUAGUUCACCGUCACCAUACACCCUCAACAUUAGCACUCAAAGCAGAGGAAGGCUUUGCCACCCCUCUGAGCCCAACCUGGGGAAGGCUUUGCUGUUUUCAUGACUGUAAGUCAUCAGGAUCCGUGAUAUGGCUGUGACCAUGCCAACAACCUAUGUUCACUCAGGGUGACAUCAGGAUAAUCACGUGGGCUUCCUCAGUCCCCUACAUGGAGGUAUGCCACCCUUUACAAUGUAACCUUCUACUGCCAUCAGACUGGGCAGGCUAAAUCCUAAGGCCAGAAAUGAGAAGGGAGCUGUAGCUAAUCUGAUGGCUGGUUUCCCUUUGUGCUUUUCUCUGUCCCACAGUUGAAAAUUUGGUUACUUAUAUGGGUUGCCUCAACCUCAACAUUGUUGAAGAGGAACUGUUUUAGACUGUGACAAAAUACCCGAGGAGCUGAGCUUAUUUGGAGGGAAGGUUUAUUGCCUCUCUUUCAGUCUGUGCAGAUUUGAGAUUUGGAUAAUUUGAGCCUGUGGUAAGGCAGUACGCUAUGGUAAGAGCACACACAAUGGUCUAGCAUCCUUCCACAAGGUCCCACCUCCAAAAUGUUCCAGUAGCUCACAAAAGACCACAAAACGGAGACCAAUCUUUGUUACUUGGGCCUCUGUGAGGCACAGAGGUUAUGAACUAUCGCAAUAACAGAAAUCACAAAGCUGCCACUUUUUGAACACUUAACAUCACUCUACAAGGAACUCCUCUCCUACUUCCACGACAGACAUACACUCAUGCCAUCCACACGCAGGUGGUUUGGGAUAUGUGAUCAGUGUAAGUACUGCAGUGUGUGCAAGGGGGGGGGUGGCUGGGGAUGCAGACCCUCUGCUGCAUGACUUUAGCGAAGGCUAUGUUAAUUGUGUGAAAUUGGAAAGGGUUUGGGGGACUGGUCAGAAAGUCAGUUUUGUCCCUAUGGCUGGAUCUCUGGGCACCCAGUGGUGGCAUUUUCCUGAUGUAUUUUUAGGUUUUUCUUCUAUAUCAGAGAACAUUUUUCUUCUGUUUCAAGCUGUGGCAUCCAUGAAGAACUGAACUACCGCCAGAAUGUUCUAUCAAGCUGAGCUUCUAGAAAGGCUGUAGAGCCAGGUUUGGACACAGACACUCCACUGGAUGGAGUUAGAAGUGAGAUAUGGAUCGGAAUGUCCAUCAAUUCAUCCCGGAGGCCUUUCCAAGGUGGCAAGAACCUUAACACACAGCUAAGGCCAUUGAUCCUGGCCCAGGAAGUUCCUUCUAUUGCCUUCUAGCUUGCAACUAUUAAUUAGUGUGUGUGUGUAUGUGUGUGUGUGUGUGUGUGUGUAUAUAUAUAUAUAUAAUUUGCUGAGCACCUACUAAGUGCCAAGGGUAGGUCCCAGUUGUAACUUGCACCUGAUUUUUCUUUAGUCAACACAGUAACCCUGUGUUAUAGAACUACCAUUGUUUUCUGCUUUCAGGGAAAGAAGCAGAGGCCUAGAGAGAAUCCAUUAGUCUCCUGAGGCUUGAAGGAGAAUAUUUCUCAGGCCUAGAGGCUGCCAAGUCUACCAACCGCAGAUCCCCACUGUUCUUAGGUCUGCCCAGCACCCAUUGGCUUCUCCCAUCGCCCUCAUCCUUUCUAACCCUCCUCAGCAACAACAGCCUUCCAAAGACAACAGUGACUCUUUCCUUAUGGUUAAAUAUCUUCUGGCCUCCUGACACUUGUGGUCAGGAGAGAUAAAGGCUUUUACAGUGCUGGGAUAUGAGGAAUGUGGCCUGUGCUCAGUCUGUGUGUCUGUGGAGGACUCAGGGCAGGAUUUCCCAAGUAACGGAGGGGUUCCUCUUAUCCUGGGUGGUCUAGCUGGGAGGAACCAGACAUGCUUCAGCUUCAUUAACAGCUCCCUCAGACUGCAGGAAACAUCCUGAGGUUUCUACACUGCAACUUCCAGGAGGCAAUGGCCACUUCUUUUUGGUUCCUGAUGGUGUCUGGAUUCAACCCUUCUUUUGAGUUUUGAUGCUUUGGUCCACGAUUGGCUGGCCCCAUUGCUUUGGAUCUGCUCACUCAUGGCAGAAACGCACAGCUGGGGAAGCUGCUUGUCUCCUGCUAACCAACAAGGACAGAAAGAAGGGGUACCACAGCGAGAGAGAACCUGAAUCAGCCACCGUCAGAGAGGCCGAUUAAGCCAAACUACUGCUGCCUAAGCUGCUUCUUGUUAUUUUUCUCUGGGCCAGGUUAAAAGGCACUUGAGAACAAUGGGCCAUCAGCUCUGCCUCCUGUCUGUCUGGGAAGAUGGCUGCCACGGCCGCCAGUCCCAUUCCAUUUCAGCAAUGAGGUGCCACAAGAGGCUCACACACAUAACCCCCGCAAAGAUGGAAAUGAGUGUAUCUCCGCAAAAGGGGAAGCGGAGGGGGUGAGGUGAGGGGGCGGAGGAAGGAGCGCCACAACGCUGUGCUUUGAUGGCCUUAUAUUUCCAAGCUCUGGGAAAGAAGAAUUGGAGCCGCAGAACUCAAUAUAGAGCAGCGAUCUGUGGUUGGGGGAAAUGCGGCACAUCUGCCUUUUAUAGGUUUGGAAUGAAAAAUGUUUUUAAUUAAGGAGUGGAAUUGGGGCUUUUAGUCUUGCUACAUGCUAUGUACCUGUCAGACCUGCUGGAUGGGAAUUUAGCUGUGACCUCUCACCCCCCACCCCCACCACCUACAUUAACCAGAGGACUACAAGAACUCAGAAGAACUCUGAGCACCCGAGAUCGCCUCUGUGCCCUCCUCUGAACAGAAUGGACCUCAGCAUAGAAAAAUCUCUGUUCUACCUGGCGUGGGCCAUUGCAACAGGAUUCCAGCUGCUCUCGGGAGUGAAAGCGAAAGGUGGUCAGUGUCACCAUUGGUCACAAACGGACUCUGCAAGUCAAGAAGACUUAGGGGAGCCAACAUAGCUAUAAUGACUAUAAAAACCCAGCAAGGAUUUUUUUUUUAAAGCUAUGAAGCAAAACAAUCUCAGAAAUGGUAAUGUUCUGUCAGCAAAACAAACCAUCUAAGGAAGGAAUCUUCAUGCCCACCCUGUGGGUCCGGCUCUUAAGAUGGUGGCCUGAGAUGCCAUUUACAAGGGGCUGGGCUGCUCUUCCUGGGAUCUCUACGGAGGGAGAAGGACCUGCACUGAGAUGCCCCUGCUCUCUCUUCUCUCUCCCCAUGGUCAGGUCAACCACACAGUUAUCCCAACUGGGUUUCUGGGCUCCUUUAUUUUCACAAAUGCCUCCAGCUCUAAGGUAUGACAUCAGGGCCCCUUACUCUCUAAGGAGUGGACCAGCGCUACUCCUUUUGGAUCUUCCAAGAGGAGGGUGGUCUCCUGUUGGCAUCAUUCAUUGUUAGGCCUUAACAUCCUCUGCAUUUUUAUCCAUCCUUCCCUGGGCUUUUCUUUCUUUCUUCUCUAUCCUGGAACAUCCCAUCUCGGUCCAUGAAGAUCCAAGGGCAGGGUUAACGCUUUUUAAGCUCAAAGUGUUGAUCUUUACCCUUUAACAGGCUAUGAGAACUUGUUCAUAUGACCCUUGUGAUUUUUUUUUUUAAAGCAAAUUUUGGAGUUAGUCUACCAAAGGGAAGCCAUUCUGUCUUUUCUCCCCUUCUUUUUCCCUCCUACCUUUUCCUCUCCUCCUUUCCCCUCCUAGUCUUAAACCUGCCUUUAACCUCCACAUUGGUAAAAUAGUUCAAAGUGUCUCUUUUCGCUAAGCAGAAACAGCAGUUUCUGUGUCCACUGCUGGCCCUACAAUGGGGCAGCCUCCCUCCCUGGCUGCCACACCCUCAACUCAUAGCCUGUCAUCCUUGAUCUGUCGGCCGGGCCACCUCAAAGCAGGAAAGCUGUGAUCUUCUUUGUGUUUCUAGCACUUAGCACAAACCCUGGCCUGUUGCAAAUGCCUCCUGCCUGGAGUUAGAAGGAACUGAGUUCAGAGUGGAUGAAGGGAAAGAAUCAGGAAAACCAUGGUAGAUUCUGGAAGGCCUGGUGGAGAGAAGUGGUUCUCGUGGAAUGAAGAACAAUUCUUUUUUAAACAAACAAACAAACAAACAAACAAACAAACAGAUAUUCAGAACAUUUCAAUGGAAGUGUUUCAAAAGGUUUUGUGUGGAACAUAAUUUUCUUUCCUUUUUUUAAUAGCCUUUUCUUUUUUCUCUGUUCUUCCCUCAUGUAUUACAUCUCAGCUGAAGUUUCUCCCCCUCCCCCUCCCCUACUCGCUCCCCUCCCCACAACCACACCCCUUCACCUCCCCUCAAAAAAGAACAAGCCUUCCUGGGGCGUUAACCAGACACAAAAUAACCAGCUACACUAAGACCAGGCACAUAUUCUCACAUCAAGGCUGAAUGAGGCAACCCAGUAGGAGGAGAAGGGUCCCAAAGGCAGGCAAGAGCCAGACGCAGCUCUGCUUCUGCUGUUAGGAGUCUCACAAGGAUACUGAGCUAUACAACCAUAUUAUGUAUGCACCCAUACAGGCUCCUUGAACUCACUUGAGUCCUAGUCAGCCGAUUCUGUUCUUGUGGCAUCCUUGGUCCCUGCAGUUUCUCCAAUCCUUCCUACCCCUCCUCUGCAGGAGUCAUCCAAGCUCCAUCUAAUCUUUGGCUGUGGGACUCUGUAUCUGCUCCCAUCAGUUGCUGGAUAAAGUCUCUCUGACUCCAUGACAAUUAUGCUCGACUCCAGUCCUAGCACAACCUUCAGGCCUGACAAACUGUAGGUCAGAGGUUUUGUGACUGGGAUGGAUGGCUGGUUCAGGCUCUGUGACUCCCAUUACUAGGAGUAUGAAGACCAAUUCUUGGUUGUCUAUGAUGGCUAAAGUCAAGGACAGUUAUAGCUCAUCAACUAUAUUAGGCUUCUUGUGUAAAAUAAAAACACAUACUCAUACACACAUCACUCAUACAUUUAUGUAUAUAUACCCCAUGUAGAAAAAUAUUUACAAUUUAGAAAGUUGCUUUACAUAUUAAAUUAUAUUGCUUUUGUUUCUAU